rfam:Toxocara canis scaffold473, whole genome shotgun sequence.
GGCGAGAUGGCCGAGCGGCCUAAGGCGCUGGUUUAAUGCAAAAGUCUCUCUGGAGGCGUGGGUUCGAAUCCCGCUCUCGUCA